rnacentral:rRNA from 1 species
UACGGGGGGGGCAAGCGUUGUUGGGAAUUACUGGGCGUAAUGUGCGCGUAGGCGUGUGGACAAGUCUAUCGUGAAAGCCCACGGCUCAACCGUGGAAUUGCGGGAGAUACUGUCUGUCUUGAGACCGGGAGAAGAGUGUGGAAUUUCCAGUGUAGCGGUGAAAUGCGUAUAUAUUGGUAGGAACACCGGUGGCGAAGGCGGCUCUCUGGACCGGUACUGACGCUGAGGCGCGAAAGCUAGGGGAGCAAACGGG